rnacentral:rRNA from 1 species
CAGCUCUCCGAGUGGUGUGGAUGUUUAUUGGGCCUAAAGCAUCCGUAGCUGGCUAAGUUAGUCCCUUGUUAAAUCCACCGAAUUAAUCGUUGGAUUGCGGGGGAUACUACUUAGCUAGGGGACGAGAGAGGCAGACGGUAUUUCCGGGGUAGGGGUGAAAUCCUAUAAUCCCGGGAAGACCACCAGUGGCGAAGGCUGUCUGCUAGAACGCGCCCGACGGUGAGGGAUGAAAGCUGGGGGAGCGAACCGGAUUAGAUACCCGAGUAGUCC